rnacentral:rRNA from 1 species
CCUACGGGAGGCUGCAGUGAGGAAUAUUGGUCAAUGGGCGCGAGCCUGAACCAGCCAAGCAGCGUGAAGGAUGACUGCCCUACGGGUUGUAAACUCCUUUUAUAAAGGAAUAAAGUGAGGCACGUGUGCCUUUUUGUAUGUACUUUAUGAAUAAGGAUAGGCUAACUCUGUGCCAGCAGCCGCGGUAAUACGGAGGAUCCGAUCGUUAUCCGGAUUUAUUGGGUUUAAAGGGAGCGUAGAUGGGGUGUUAAGUCAGUUGUGAAAGUUUGCGGCUCAACCGUAAGAUUGCAAUUGAGACUGGCAGCCUUGAGUACAGUUGAGGUAGGCGGAAUUCGUGGUGUAGCGGUGAAAUGCUUAGAUAUCACGAAGAACUCCGAUUGCGAAGGCAGCCUACUAAACUGCAACUGACAUUGAUGCUCGAAAGUGUGGGUAUCAAACAGGAUUAGAUACCCGGGUAGUC